rnacentral:rRNA from 1 species
ACCUGCCCAUUGGAAUCUAAAAGGCCGCGGUAUUAUGACCGUGCUAAGGUAGCAUAAUCAUUAGUCUUUUAAUUGGAGGCUGGUAUGAAUGGUUGGACAAGAAAUAAGCUGUCUUAAAUAAAAAUAUUGAAUUUAACUUUUAAGUGAAAAGGCUUAAAUUUUCUAAGGGGACGAUAAGACCCUAUAAAACUUUAUAUUUUAAAAUAAUAAUUAAUUUUUAUAUAGAAGAUUUAUUUUUAAAUAUUUUAUUGGGGUGAUAAAGAUAAAAUGUGAGAUAACUGUCUUUUUUUUUUACAAUUAAUAUUUGAGUAAAAGAUCUUAACAAAGGAAAUAAGAGAUUAAGUUCUUUAGGGAUAACAGCGUAAUUUUCUUUAAGAGUUCUUAUCGACAAGAAAGUUUGCGACCUCGAUGUUGAAUUAAAAGUUCUUUAUAGAGUAGAUAUUAUAAUAGAGGGUCUGUUCGACCCUUAAAAUUUUACGUG